GGACGGGUGAGUAAUGCCUAGGAAUCUGCCUGGUAGUGGGGGACAACGUUUCGAAAGGAACGCUAAUACCGCAUACGUCCUACGGGAGAAAGCAGGGGACCUUCGGGCCUUGCGCUAUCAGAUGAGCCUAGGUCGGAUUAGCUAGUUGGUGAGGUAAUGGCUCACCAAGGCGACGAUCCGUAACUGGUCUGAGAGGAUGAUCAGUCACACUGGAACUGAGACACGGUCCAGACUCCUACGGGAGGCAGCAGUGGGGAAUAUUGGACAAUGGGCGAAAGCCUGAUCCAGCCAUGCCGCGUGUGUGAAGAAGGUCUUCGGAUUGUAAAGCACUUUAAGUUGGGAGGAAGGGCAUGCACCUAAUACGUGUGUGUCUUGACGUUACCGACAGAAUAAGCACCGGCUAACUCUGUGCCAGCAGCCGCGGUAAUACGUAAGGUGCAAGCGUUAAUCGGAAUUACUGGGCGUAAAGCGUGCGCAGGCGGUUUUGCAAGACAGAUGUGAAAUCCCCGGGGCUCAACCUGGGGAACUGCAUUCAAAACUGACGGAGCUAGAGUAUGGUACGAGGGUGGUGGAAUUUCCCUGUGUAGCGGUGAAAUUGCGUAGAUUCGGAAGGGACCCCAGUUG
rnacentral:rRNA from 1 species